rnacentral:misc_RNA from 1 species
GACGGAGGGGGCUAGCGUUGUUCGGAAUUACUGGGCGUAAAGCGCACGUAGGCGGCCCAUCAAGUCAGGUGUGAAAGCCCCGAGCUUAACUCGGGAACUGCAUUUGAUACUGGUGGGCUUGAGACCGGGAGAGGAUAGCGGAAUUCCCAGUGUAGAGGUGAAAUUCGUAGAUAUUGGGAAGAACACCAGUGGCGAAGGCGGCUAUCUGGACCGGUACUGACGCUGAGGUGCGAAAGCGUGGGGAGCAAACAGG